GUGAUUGGGCUAUAUUACGGGGCGAAAAUAAUAUGUUCACACAUUGUUUUCGAAUAUUUUGCUUGUAUCAAAGCUCUUAUAAACAAGAAAGGGUAUUCCUACAUAGCUUGUGGGACCCACGGCAAAUGGAUCAUAAAGUCUUCAAAAAAGAAUAGAUACGAUUGCAUUGCAUGUAGUAACAGAUGCGAUCAUACCAGCACUAAUGCACCAGAUCCCAUCAAAACUCCGCAGUUAAGCGUGCUUGGGCGAGAGUAGUACUAGGAUGGGUGACCUCCAGGAAAGUCCUCGUGUUGCAUCCCUCUUUUUUUCGGUUUUUCUCUUUUUUUUUGUUAAAAAUGUAUGACUCUGAAACUUUUAGACCAUGAAGCCAAACUUGGCAUGUGAUACCUUUUCGGAAAGCCCAAAAAGAGCUCUCCGAUGAUGAGGAAGGAAAAUGGAAUUCUUCUAUUGU
rnacentral:rRNA from 1 species